UGGCAUACUCGUGCCUUAUGAGCCACCGAAGCCCCGAAGUGCUCUGGCAUAUACCUUCACAUAUAUGCAAUGGCAAGCCCUUCCGUGUGUUCCAAAGACAAUGCCUACGCCUAGCCACAGCAGCUCCCUCAUACAGACUCCGCAAGCCAAGAGGCCGUGGAGGCAAAUGCAGG